UCCCUGGUGGCUCAGAUGGUAAAGCUUCUGCCUGCAAUGCGGGAGACCCAGGUUUGAUCCCUGGGUUGGGAA
rnacentral:tRNA from 1 species